rnacentral:rRNA from 1 species
UUUCGGAUCGUAAAGCUCUGUUGUCAGGGAAGAACAAGUACCAAAGUAACUGUUGGUACCUUGACGGUACCUGACCAGAAAGCCACGGCUAACUACGUGCCAGCAGCCGCGGUAAUACGUAGGUGGCAAGCGUUGUCCGGAAUUAUUGGGCGUAAAGCGCGCGCAGGCGGCUUCUUAAGUCUGAUGUGAAAGCCCACGGCUCAACCGUGGAGGGUCAUUGGAAACUGGGAGGCUUGAGUGCAGAAGAGGAGAGCGGAAUUCCACGUGUAGCGGUGAAAUGCGUAGAGAUGUGGAGGAACACCAGUGGCGAAGGCGGCUCUCUGGUCUGUAACUGACGCUGAGGCGCGAAAGCGUGGGGAGCGAACAGGAUUAGAUACCCUGGUAGUCCACGCCGUAAACGAUGAGUGCUAAGUGUUGGAGGGUUUCCGCCCUUCAGUGCUGCAGCUAACGCAUUAAGCACUCCGCCUGGGGAGUACGGCCGCAAGGCUGAAACUCAAAGGAAUUGACGGGGGCCCGCACAAGCGGUGGAGCAUGUGGUUUAAUUCGAAGCAACGCGAAGAACCUUACCAGGUCUUGACAUCCCGCUGACCGGUCUGGAGACAGGCCUUUCUCUUCGGGGACAGCGGUGACAGGUGGUGCAUGGUUGUCGUCAGCUCGUGUCGUGAGAUGUUGGGUUAAGUCCCGCAACGAGCGCAACCCUUG